CGAACUCUGGUAUUGAUUGGUGCUUGCAUCAUGAUUUACAUUUGAGUGAGUGGCGAACUUGGUGAGUAACACGUGGGAAACCUGCCCAGAAGCGGGGGAUAACACCUGGAAACAGAUGCUAAUACCGCAUAACAACUUGGACCGCAUGGUCCGAGUUUGAAAGAUGGCUUCGGCUAUCACUUUUGGAUGGUCCCGCGGCGUAUUAGCUAGAUGGUGGGGUAACGGCUCACCAUGGCAAUGAUACGUAGCCGACCUGAGAGGGUAAUCGGCCACAUUGGGACUGAGACACGGCCCAAACUCCUACGGGAGGCAGCAGUAGGGAAUCUUCCACAAUGGACGAAAGUCUGAUGGAGCAACGCCGCGUGAGUGAAGAAGGGUUUCGGCUCGUAAAACUCUGUUGUUAAAGAAGAACAUAUCUGAGAGUAACUGUUCAGGUAUUGACGGUAUUUAACCAGAAAGCCACGGCUAACUACGUGCCAGCAGCCGCGGUAAUACGUAGGUGGCAAGCGUUGUCCGGAUUUAUUGGGCGUAAAGCGAGCGCAGGCGGUUUUUUAAGUCUGAUGUGAAAGCCUUCGGCUCAACCGAAGAAGUGCAUCGGAAACUGGGAAACUUGAGUGCAGAAGAGGACAGUGGAACUCCAUGUGUAGCGGUGAAAUGCGUAGAUAUAUGGAAGAACACCAGUGGCGAAAGCGGCUGUCUGGUCUGUAACUGACGCUGAGGCUCGAAAGUAUGGGUAGCAACAGAUUAGAUACCUGGUAGUCCAUACCGUAACGAUGAUGCUAGUGUGAGGUUUCGCCCUUCAGUGCUGCAGCUACGCAUAAGCAUCCGCCUGGGGAGUACGGC
rnacentral:rRNA from 2 species